rnacentral:tRNA from 1 species
GCUGGAAUGGUGAAAAUGGAAGUCACAGGAAACUUUUAACGGAAUCUAUUUGGUAGAAAAAACCAAGUGGGGGUUCGAAUCCCUCUUCCAGCU